UUAGCCUCCCAAAAACUUAUUCUGGAAGCCCCAAUUGAUUGGUUUUGAAACCUUAGCCGGUGGACCUCCUUUUCUUGAUAAUCAUUAGGACAAAAGAGGUUAAUUCUGAUAAUUUCUCAUUUAAUUCUCCUGAUUGUCGAGCAAAAAAACAGGUUCAUGUGGUUGAGUUGCAUUUGGUUAUGUUCCUUGAAACAUAUACUAGCAGUUAUGGUCAGCUGAAAAACUCAGUACCUAUCUUAAAUAAAUGCUGAAAGCAAACAUUUUUAUCACAUUUGCAGACACCCUACAACAUCUGAGGCAAGCAGUUCUAGCUAAUUUACAAGAAAAGCACUUCUAAAAGGAAAGAGUGGACAAUUUUAUCAUGGUAACAAUGUGCUGCAAAUUGCCAACAGCUCACUUCUGUGAUUAAUUCAAAAACCAACGUCACAAUUCACUAAAUCAUGUUCUAUCUUUUAUUUCACUACAAUUGUAUAUUCUUUCAUAAUUAAAGGUUCAAACUUUGCAUGGUUUAUCAGAGUUAAACAUACAAAUCAUUUCAAACUGCCAAAAACUUAAACUGAAAACACCAAAAAAUAAGAGUUUUCAAACUCACCUCACCAAAUUUGUCACCACAAAACUUUUUAUUUCCACAAAAAACCCACGUAUCACAAAGACAAGGUCCAUGAUUACCCGUACACAUAGCCUUACAAGCCUUACAACAUUCACUAGAACUAUUAACCUUAAAAUCAGAACCCCACUUUACAGCAGCUCCCCAAAGCUCAAAACUUUCGAUCCCACUACAACAUUCACCCUCCCCUUCACCACCACCGCCACCGCUAAAUUCACCUUCCUCCGCCGCUAACCGCUCAACGGAGUAAUUUAUUUCCACAAAAAACCCACGUAUCACAAAGACAAGGUCCAUGAUUACCCGUACACAUAGCCUUACAAGCCUUACAACAUUCACUAGAACUAUUAACCUUAAAAUCAGAACCCCACUUUACAGCAGCUCCCCAAA
rnacentral:lncRNA from 1 species